rnacentral:rRNA from 2 species
CGACCUGAGAUCAGACGAGAUUACCCGCUGAAUUUAAGCAUAUC